AUGCCCGAGUACGAGUACGAGUACGACUACUCCCCCGCGGUCUCCUCCCCGUCCUCCUCCUCGGCGCCCUCCUCCUCGUCCCUCCUUGCGGACUUCCCCGGCGGUGGCAGCUGGUUCGCGUCCACGGCCUCCCCGCCGACGGGAUCGCUCGCCUUCGACUCCGUCCUGGUCGCGUCUGACCCGGCGCCGUCCACCCCCGUCAGCGGCGCGGCGAACAAGAGGCGGGUCGUCCUCGGGCCCAACGCAGCGGGCGCCGGGCGGGCCGGGAAGCGUCGGGCGAGGCCGUCGAAGCGCGCGCCGACCACGUACAUCAGCACCGACCCGGACAACUUCCGGCUCAUGGUGCAGCACGUCACCGGCGUCGAGCCCGAGCCCACGGCAGACGGCAGCGUCCUGCCCUUGUCGACGUUCGAUGCCGCGCUGCUGGAUUACCCUCCUUUCGACGGCGCGUUCGGGGACGCGCUGCGGCUGCCGUCGGACGUCGACGCGGCGGCGCUCCAUCGCCACCACCAACAGCAGCUGGCGCAGCAGCAGCAGCUGUGCUACCCGACGCUGGACUCCUGGAGCGUCAUGUACGAGCAGCCAGCUGAUCUAGCUCUAGCCGAUCGAGCUCCCCUUCCAUUUGCCAGGAACCCUGCUGCUCAAGCCGGCAAUCGAAACGCUGCGGGGCAAAAACCUGGCAACGCUAUGACUUCGCCUAGACGACAGAAGAAUAUAAGCAGAUACUAG
rnacentral:rRNA from 1 species